UCGAACCCGCUUUUUAGAGAAAGGAAAAAAAAAAAACAAACCCUCUUCUCACUUCUCUCUUUCUUCUUGUUUCUCUCUCGUUCUAGCUGCUUCUUCUGCAAAACAGAAAAAAAUGGCGGUAACUUCUAGAAAAUCAAGAGCACCAGUGCUCCGAUCUCUCUCACCAUCUCCUAGAUUUUGCAACAAUAAUUCCCACUCUCCAUCACCUUCUUAUUCUUCCUCUGGUUUCGCUUCUUCCAGUUCCAGUUUCACCUCUCGCUCCACCACCUUCUUUCACCGUGCCACUUCUCCGACACGUGUCAACUUAUGCGGUCCCUCCUCCGCGUCGGCCUCGUCCGUUCGGUUCUCCCUUGACCGGUCGAUUUCUCCGAACCGUUCCAUCUCGGUGGCGCCUCGAACCGGUGCUCCGACGACCGUGAAGAGGCAGGGCCAGCAGAAGCGGACCUGCAUGUGUUCUCCCACUACGCACCCUGGCUCCUUCCGGUGCAGCCUCCACAAAGGAUUCUCCGCCUCAUCGCAUGCCGCGGCGGCGCCGUACUCGCCGAACCGUCUCAACGCGCGUAGAUCCGCCAUGACGAACUCGCUCGUUAGGAUUCGAGGCGUGGAAGGAGAUCUCGUGAAGCGAGCUCUCUCGGCGCUUAUUAGACCUUCAUCGCAUCAGCAGCGGAGGAGAGGCGACUUCCACCCGAGGCCUAGCAGGCUCUCCGUCAUGUCCAAGGCCGAUGAGGAGUGAGAAGUGCUUUGAUCCUCCGAAAAUUUUGGCUGUGGAGCCUUCCGGUUUCUGAAAGGUGAAGUCAUCGAUUUAUCGAUAACUGCCAUGGACGUCGGAUGGACGGUCGCAGGAGGUAGCGGAUUCCGGUGAAAUGGCUCGGUCACGUUUCCGAAUUCCAAUCAAGGAGUAGUGAUGUGUAUAUACAUAAUGUAGAACAUUGAAUAUAAGAUUUGAUGAGAUGGAUAUGCAUAAGGAUGAGGAUGUAGAAGUUGACGGUGACGCAUUUUCUAUAGGAGCAGCCGAUCAGGAUGAGAUGAUGAUUAAUGAAUGGCGGUUUUGAAUACGAGUAUAUGAUAUACUCUAUUAGUCAUGGGACAAAAAAGGAAAAGGAAAACAAAAUUAAAUCAACAAAACGAAAGAUAACAUUUAAAUACCCUAAAUAGAUCACUGAUUCCAUGGAUAGAUCGCUCCAUGAAAAUCUAUGGAUGCUUAAACUAUCGGUUACACCUUAAUUUCAGAGACGGAGAAGACGAUGUUUUAAAAUGAAAUUUCUCAUGAGUGAAAGAAAAAAAAAAGGUUUUUAAUUGGAAUUUGAGAAAGAAAAAAAAAAGUCUCCCAUCCUCCACCACAAUCUCUCCGGCAAAUCCAGGACCAGCCACUGCCUCCUUCUGCAAAGCCAUCAGAUGGAAGGACAGGAGUGAAAAUAUUAUUGAUUGUUAUGGAUUUGUUCUGAAAUUGGAGGGAUUAAACGGAUAUAAUAUAAUAAUAUAUUUAUGUAUAAAAUAUAUAAUUUUUUUAAUAUUUAUUAUUACAAAUUAGUGAAGCUUUGAAAAUCAUAUAAAUUUGAUUAAUAGUUAUUUUUUUUAUAUUUCAUCGGUUUAUUGUCAAAUUAUUUUAGACUAAUUAGAUCAAACUGACCUAUUCAAUUUUGAAAUCUAUGAUUACAACACAAUUAACCACAUUAUUAGUUGUGGACUUGUGGUCUUGUUUCAAAUUUCAAAUGUGUCUCUCCUAAUCGAUCUAAGCUAGGUAGAAUAACGAUUCAAAUUCUCUAAACAUCGAGUAUUUUGGGAUUUUAAUUAUAUUUCUAAUUAUGAAAAUAGUGGUAAAAUUUGAAAAGAUAAGAUCGAUACUAACACAUAUUUUAAAUAUUAAUUUUUGUUUUAUACGCAAUCAAUUUCAAAAUGUAUAUGCAAUUGGAUAUCCAGUAGCAUUCCAAUUAAUUAAGCAGUUAGUAUAGUGUAUGGAAAUAAAGUAGAAAAAUAUGAGCAAGUAAAAGUCAUCGGGCUUAGUCUAUGGGGAUAAAUUGGAACAAACUAUGAAUGAGAUAUGUAUAAAGAGAGGGAUUAGGGGAAAUUAUUAUUGGCCCUUAUGGCAUCCAAGGGUCAUGAUAACUGAUAAGUCAAUCAGUUAAUUAGGAAUUGACAAAGAGUCAAUGAUGCCACUUUCCUACGCCAUACCAUCAUAUUGCAGUUGCAAUGCAAGCCUCUGGGUGAUGGCCCCCCAAAUUUUCAUAUACAUUCAGUUUAUUAGUCUUCUAAUUUUUUAUGAAAUUUUAUUUUAUAUUUAGUUUAUUUUUUCUUUUG